AGGCUGUCACUCUGUCACCCAGGCUGGAGUGCGGUGGUAUGAUCACAGCUCACUCUAGCCUUGAACCCCCAAGCUAAAGGGAUCCUCCUGCCUCAGCCUCCAGAGUAGCUGGGACUACAGUAUAUACAUGAAGAAACCCAGCCACGUUCACAUGUGUGGAAUACUCUUGGGUAGCACGAGCAGGUCAGGCAAUGGCAAAUGGUGUGAUGUGACCUUGAGUCAACAUCAGAGGUCAAAGGUAGGUGGGAUCAAAGGUAGGUGGGAUCAGGUGGUGAAGUGCCCUCAUCACUUACCCAGGUUGAUAAGUGCUUUCAUUACAUGGAAGGCUUUGUUUUUGUUCUUUAAAUUAAUAUUUCUUAUUACAAAAGUAACACCUAUGUAUGAUUUUAAAAUCUCCAAAGAGCAUACAACAAAAAAGCCCUGACAGAUAUUCAGUUCCGUAACUUCCCUCCCAGGAAACAACCACGAUCGUUAACUGCUGAUGUAUCUUUGUGUAAAUAGUAUACGUAUAAGCAUCUCCUUUGUUUAUCCUUUGUUGCAUGCAAAGGAAGAUACUAUACAAAUCUUGCUUUGUAUCUUGAGAUUGGUCCGUAUCAGCACAUUUAGAGCUAUCUUAUUCUUUUCCCCAGCUCCAUGUUUUCAAAUUAUGUAGUUGAACCAUGGCUUAUUUAACAGUUAACUAAUGAGACAUUAAAUAUGCUGCAGUCAAUAAACAAUGCUGAUUUGAAGAUUUUUGUCUUCAAACAUGGAGCUAUUAUUUGCAGGACAUUGUUCUCAAAGAGGAAUUUUUGUGCUUCUAGAAAAUAAUAUAAAGAGAGGAAAAGCAUGAACAAGGUGGCCUUUUAGAGCUAUCAAUCUGGCGGCUGUGUGAAGGAUGCAGUGGAGGGUGGAGCAAUUAGAAGCAAGAGACUGGUCAAGAGUCUCUUGAUUUCUUCCUCUGUCUUCUGCUCCCAGUGAGCAUUGCUGAAAGUACCAGCUAAAAGUACCAGCAAUGCUCACUGGGAGCAGAAUACAGAUGAAAAGAGUUUACAAAUGGAAUCAGCUGAGGAAGGGUUUGCACAGCCUUUGUGACUGCUCUUGUUUCUUCUCCCAUGCCUCUCUGUUUUCACUGUGCCAGUUUUGGGAGACACCUAGAGCCUAUGAUCAGAAAGGAUGUGUGCUGACAUCAUCACCACCUUUGUCUUUCAGGUACACCAAAAUGCAGAGCAAGUGAAGGAGCAGAGAAAUGGGAGAGGUGAGAAGGGGACAAUGAGGUAGGUUCUCAAAUCACUUUUUGCUUUCAUGCCUGCAACAUUUCUCUGAGGCAGAACUUUCCAAAUAAAGUGGAUUUUAGAUGUGCCAAAAUACUGACCUUUCAGCUCACAGGUGGCAGGGCAGGGUCAAAAGGGGCCUCAAGGUGCUUUUUGUGUGUGGCCCAAGUCACCUUCAAAUGUAAUGCUUUUCUGUGUAUACCAAGAUAUACAACUUUUGGAGGCAAUAAAAAAAUACUGUCUUAGAAUUCAAGAGUCCCAAAUGUUUGGAUAAAAACUUCUAGUUUUCUAGGAUGUGUGUGCAUAUAUGUAUCUACGUAUAUAUGUGCGUGGUCAUGUGUC